GUGUCGGCCGCCGCGGUAAUACAGAGGGUGCGAGCGUUAAUCGGAAUUACUGGGCGUAAAGCGCACGUAGGUGGAUAUAUAAGUCGGAUGUGAAAAGCCUGGGCUCAACCUGGGUCUGUCAUUCGAGACUGUAUAACUAGAGUAUAGUAGAGGGAAGUGGAAUUUCCGGUGUAGCGGUGAAAUGCGUAGAUAUCGGAAGGAACACCAGUGGCGAAGGCGGCUUCCUGGACUAAUACUGACACUGAGGAGCGAAAGCGUGGGGAGCAAACAGGAUUAGAUACCCUGGUAGUCCACGCUGUAAACGAUGAGGACUAGCUGUUGGGAUGUGAAAUAUUUUAGUGGCGAAGCAAACGCGAUAAGUUCUCCGCCUGGGGAGUACGGCCGCAAGGCUAAAACUCAAAGGAAUUGACGGGGGCCCGCGCAAGCGGUGGAGCAUGUGGUUUAAUUCGAUGCAACGCGAAGAACCUUACCUACCCUUGACAUCCUAGGAAGGUUGUAGAGAUACGACUGUGCCUUCGGGAGCCUAGUGACAGGUGCUGCAUGGCUGUCGUCAGCUCAUGUCGUGAGAUGUUGGGUUAAGUCCCGUAACGAGCGCAACCCUUAUUCUUAGUUACUAACGAGUUAAGUCGAGUACUUUAAGGAGACUGCCGGUGAUAAACCGGAGGAAGGUGAGGACGACGUCAAGUCAUCAUGGCCCUUAUGGGUAGGGCUACACACGUGCUACAAUGGUCGGUACAGAGGGAAACGAAGCUGCGAGGUGGAGUAAAUCUCAGAAAACCGAUCUCAGUCCGGAUUGGAGUCUGCAACUCGACUCCAUGAAGCUGGAAUCGCUAGUAAUCGCGAAUCAGCAUGUCGCGGUGAAUACGUUCUCGGGCCUUGCACACACCGCCCGUC
rnacentral:rRNA from 1 species